CAACUUUCAGCAGUGGAUGUCUAGGCUCCCCCAUCGAUGAAGAACGCUGCCAACUGCGAUACGUAAUGCGAAUUGCAGGAUUCUGUGAGUCAUCGAAAUUUUGAACGCAUAUUGCACUUCCGGGUUAGUCCUGGAAGUAUGCCUGUAUCAGUGUCCGUA
rnacentral:rRNA from 1 species